AGAGUUUGAUCAUGGCUCAGGACGAACGCUGGCGGCGUGCUUAACACAUGCAAGUCGAACGGUGAAGGGGCCUGCUUUUGUGGGUCCUGGAUGAGUGGCGAACGGGUGAGUAACACGUGAGUAACCUGCCCCCUUCUUCUGGAUAACCGCAUGAAAGUGUGGCUAAUACGGGAUAUUCUGUGCCUGCUGCAUGGUGGGUGUGGGAAAGAUUGCGCCCUUUUUGGGUGUUUUUGGUGGGGGAUGGGCUCGCGGCCUAUCAGCUUGUUGGUGGGGUGAUGGCCUACCAAGGCGGUGACGGGUAGCCGGCCUGAGAGGGUGGACGGUCACACUGGGACUGAGACACGGCCCAGACUCCUACGGGAGGCAGCAGUGGGGAAUAUUGCACAAUGGGCGCAAGCCUGAUGCAGCGACGCCGCGUGAGGGAUGGAGGCCUUCGGGUUGUGAACCUCUUUCGCCAGUGAAGCAGGCCUGCUCCUUGGUGGGUGGGUUGACGGUAGCUGGAUAAGAAGCGCCGGCUAACUACGUGCCAGCAGCCGCGGUAAUACGUAGGGCGCGAGCGUUGUCCGGAAUUAUUGGGCGUAAAGAGCUCGUAGGCGGCUGGUCGCGUCUGUCGUGAAAUCCUCUGGCUUAACUGGGGGCUUGCGGUGGGUACGGGCCGGCUUGAGUGCGGUAGGGGAGGCUGGAACUCCUGGUGUAGCGGUGGAAUGCGCAGAUAUCAGGAAGAACACCGGUGGCGAAGGCGGGUCUCUGGGCCGUUACUGACGCUGAGGAGCGAAAGCGUGGGGAGCGAACAGGAUUAGAUACCCUGGUAGUCCACGCCGUAAACGUUGGGCACUAGGUGUGGGGGGCCUUUUCCGGGUUUUCCGCGCCGUAGCUAACGCAUUAAGUGCCCCGCCUGGGGAGUACGGCCGCAAGGCUAAAACUCAAAGGAAUUGACGGGGGCCCGCACAAGCGGCGGAGCAUGCGGAUUAAUUCGAUGCAACGCGAAGAACCUUACCAAGGCUUGACAUGUGCCGGUCGGCUCCGGAGACGGGGUUUCCUCCUUGUGGGGCCGGUUCACAGGUGGUGCAUGGUUGUCGUCAGCUCGUGUCGUGAGAUGUUGGGUUAAGUCCCGCAACGAGCGCAACCCUUGUCUCGUGUUGCCAGCACGUUGUGGUGGGGACUCGCGGGAGACUGCCGGGGUCAACUCGGAGGAAGGUGGGGAUGACGUCAAAUCAUCAUGCCCCUUAUGUCUUGGGCUUCACGCAUGCUACAAUGGCCGGUACAGAGGGCUGCGAUACUGUGAGGUGGAGCGAAUCCCUUAAAGCCGGUCUCAGUUCGGAUCGGUGUCUGCAACUCGACACCGUGAAGUUGGAGUCGCUAGUAAUCGCAGAUCAGCAACGCUGCGGUGAAUACGUUCUCGGGCCUUGUACACACCGCCCGUCACGUCAUGAAAGUCGGCAACACCCGAAGCCCGUGGCCU
rnacentral:rRNA from 1 species